GGAAGUAAAGUCGUAACAAGGUUUCCGUAGGUGAACCUGCGGAAGGAUCAUUCAUAAUAAAGUGUUUUAUGGCACUUUUUAAAAAUCCAUAUCCACCUUGUGUGCAAUGUUAGAUCUCGUCAAUCUUGGCGAGAUUUUUAUACAUCAACUCAUUUUUUAACUAAUUUGUCUGAAAAAUAUUAUAAAUACUUAAUUCAAAAUGCAACUCUCAACAACGGAUCUCUUGGCUCUC
rnacentral:misc_RNA from 1 species